rnacentral:tRNA from 1 species
ACUUUAAUGGUGUUGAACAUAUUAUAAUUUCAUUAUUAAGUGGACGUAGGUCUUAAAGUA